rnacentral:rRNA from 1 species
UGUUACAAUGGCAGGUACAGAGGGAUGCUACCGGGCGACCGGAUGCGGAUCUCGAAAGCCUGUCCCAGUUCGGACUGGAGUCUGCAACCCGACUCCACGAAGUUGGAUUCGCUAGUAAUCGCGCAUCAGCCAUGGCGCGGUGAAUACGUUCCCGGGCCUUGUACACACCGCCCGUCAAGCCACGGGAGCCGGGGGCGCCUGAAGUCCGGGACCGCGAGGACCGGCCUAGGGCGAAACUGGUAACUGGGGCUAAGUCGUAACAAGGUAUC